rnacentral:tRNA from 1 species
AGUUAAUGAACUUGUAUAAGUAUAUAUUUUGAAAAUAUAAAAAAGGAAAUAAAUCCUAUUAACUU